rnacentral:rRNA from 1 species
GACGAACGCUGGCGGCGUGCUUAACACAUGCAAGUCGAACGAAGAGCGAUGGAAGCUUGCUUCUAUCAAUCUUAGUGGCGAACGGGUGAGUAACGCGUAAUCAACCUGCCCUUCAGAGGGGGACAACAGUUGGAAACGACUGCUAAUACCGCAUACGAUCUAACCUCGGCAUCGAGGAAAGAUGAAAGGUGGCCUCUAUGUAUAAGCUAUCACUGAAGGAGGGGAUUGCGUCUGAUUAGCUAGUUGGAGGGGUAACGGCCCACCAAGGCGAUGAUCAGUAGCCGGUCUGAGAGGAUGAACGGCCACAUUGGGACUGAGACACGGCCCAGACUACUACGGGAGGCAGCAGUGGGGAAUCUUACGAAAUGGACGAAAGUCUGACGGAGCAACGCCGCGUGAGUGAUGACGGCCUUCGGGUUGUAAAGCUCUGUUAAUCGGGACGAAGGGCCUUCUUGCGAAUAGUGAGAAGGAUUGACGGUACCGGAAUAGAAAGCCACGGCUAACUACGUG